GCGGGAGUGGUUCAGUGGUAGAGCGCUUCCUUGCCAAGGAAGAUGUCGCGGGUUCGAAUCCCGUCUCCCGCUCCA
rnacentral:tRNA from 1 species